AUUUCUUUUGUAUUUUGUAUAAUAAAAAAAAAAAAAAAAAAAUCUGUUCUUAUCAGUUUAAUAUCUGAUACGUCCCCCAUCGGGGGACCACAUAUUAAACGGAUUUUUGGAACAGGGAGCUGGAUCA
rnacentral:snRNA from 1 species